AUUGAACGCUGGCGGCAGGCCUAACACAUGCAAGUCGAGCGAGCGGCGGACGGGUGAGUAAUGUAUGGGGACUGCCCGAUAGAGGGGGAUAACUACUGGAAACGGUGGCUAAUACCGCAUACUGUCGGAUAACCAAUAUGGGAUUAGCUAGUAGGUAAGGUAAUGGCUUACCUAGGCGACGAUCCCUAGCUGGUCUGAGAGGAUGAUAAGAGUCACUGGAUCUGAGACACGGCACAGACUCCUCCGGAGGCAGCAGUGGGGAAUAUUGCACAAUGCGCGCCAGCCUGAUGCAGCCAUGCCGCGUGUAUGAAGAAGGCACUAUAGUUGUACAGUUCUUUCUGUCAGGAGGCGUUACCGACAGAAGAAGCACCGGCUAACUCCGUGCCAGCCGCCGCGGUAAUAC
rnacentral:rRNA from 1 species